GUGGCCCAGUGGUAGAGUGAGUGUUUAACAUGUAAAAGGCCCCAGCUCCAA
rnacentral:tRNA from 1 species